UCGGUUCCGGUGCUGGUAUUUUAUACCAGAUAAUAGGGAAGUGCGGUGAGAAUCCGUUGCAGCCCCGCUACUGUAAUCAACAGGGUUUGAGUUCUGUUUGGCUCGGACCCACACGCUCGUGUUCGAUAUACCACUAUUCCUAAUUUUUUCGGAGUGGGAAGGUGAAUAUGUGCCGUUGUUAGCCAGGAAACCUGCCUGAACUGAUU
rnacentral:ncRNA from 1 species